rnacentral:lncRNA from 1 species
AGCACAGCGAGCUCGGGAGUGUGGCCUUCUUCGCCCCGGGCCCCUCACGGCCUCGGCCCGCGCCGGGUGAGCCCGAGGGGCCCGGGAGCAGCCUCGGUCCCUACUCUGCGGACGCCAGGAGCCCUCGCCCUCGAGGCAGCCACCGGCUAGGCCACGUGGCCAUUCCGCAGCGACUCUUGCCCUGCCAACGAUGCGCCUGCAUGGCGGCGGCCUCCCCGACUCCACCGGCGCCCUCUCUCCAGGGCCGGGCCCACCGAGGAGUCCCAGCCAGGCCUUCGAGGACGCCUCGAAAGUGGCGGCGAGCGUGGCAUGGCGGGAAGAAUGGCAUCCACCUGAAGGCCAAGGCUGGGCCUUCGGGGCUUCUGCGGCCUGAGGCGGCGGGUCUGAGCAAGAACACUCUGCCAUCGCCGCCGGCUCGGGACGGGAAGCCCACCCGUGGCCGAGCACGCAGACCUGGAUGAACCGAGGCCUCGAUGGGCCUGGACGAAGGUGAACGGGGCCCCGAAUCACGGCGAGAGGAACGAUCGAUUCUUGGGCCGCGGGUCUUCCCUCCACCCGAGAGAAGCCGAGACGCGACAACCGCAGGCGGCCAUUCGGAAACGCUGUCGCCGUAGAAGGCCUGUGUAUAUAAUAUGAAAAAGCUGCUCUCAACCUUUCCCCCGACCCUUUUUAGACUUCUGGCUAAAUCUGGACGUCUAACUGUAGAGAUUGCCGACGCAGGGUAAAGGAGAGGUAGGAGAUGACGUGAAUACCCAGUCGCCAUAAAAAGAAGAUCGUGGACACGUCUUCUGCAAGUGAUUUUGAAAUGGAAUUGUUUAGGCCACCU